CCGGCAUGAUGAGGAUACUAAAUUUAAUCUGCUGAUGUUGCUGAUUGAAUGAACAACCUCCUACUCAUUCUGA